CCGGGCUGGACGGUUGGGAAGGAAGGUCGUGGACAACAAAGUAAUGAACAAAAAUAUGUUUCACGCAUGAGAAGCUGUCCGAGAUGGCAGUGAGGGAGAGGUCAUGGCAAACGGUGUUUAUGGCAUGGAAAAGUGAAGAUUCAAAAAAAAACCCAAGGAGAGGCCAAGAUAGUGUGGAAAAUAUCCACCCCCUCCCAGAGACAGCUCAUUAGGAAGGUUUUGGAGGGAGACUCGCAGGAGGUCAGGGGCUGCUGUGUUAUCUUUGGAGGAAAGGCCAUCCCUUCUCUUCCCCUCCGCAGACGUAUCCAGUGAGACAACUCUCUCCCCAGCAAGCUUUUCUCAGGGAGCAGGCAGUUUCUUGAAAAAAUGAACCAGAUGAGGAUCCACCCACCUCCAGAAACAAAGACUGUGGCUGUCUCCAAGAAUGAAGCACCAGUCUCUUAGUUGGUAUCCCCAGGAGACCAAGUGAGUAGGUAUUACAAAUAUAAUCAGGGAAAAGAAGCUAUUUUAAAAAAUCGGUCAUUGGGCAGGAUGUUCCAAAGGGCAGAUGAAUGUAACUUCCAAGAUGAAGUAACCGGAUGUCUGUCAACUCAGAAAACAAGCUUAAAUGCCUUCUCUUCCAUGAAGACUUCCUUGAUCACUCCUGUCUUUACAGAUGAACGGCUAACUGGAAUACCAACAGAAUAAACAGACUUUAGUCCUGCCAUCUGCCCUGGCCCAUGCAGCCUGGCAUUGUUUAGGGGAUCAUACCUGGCUUCCCACCCAGGCCACAUGACUCUAGAGGGCAA
rnacentral:lncRNA from 10 species